rfam:Spinacia oleracea cultivar SynViroflay scaffold1143.con0012.1, whole genome shotgun sequence.
AAGAGAAGAGCCGGUGAAGAUAGCCAAGGAGACUGCCUGAAACCAAGUAAUUUGGGACCAUUCAUAUUGUUUAUUAUUAUUGAAGGUCACCAAAUAAGUUCAUGGCGCAGGCAAGUCAUCCUUGGCUACCAAACCAAAGACUCUUUUCU